rnacentral:tRNA from 1 species
GCCCAUAUAGCUCAGUCGGUAGAGCACUUCCUUGGUAAGGAAGAGGUCAUCGGUUCAAAUCCGGUUAUGGGCUCCA